GCCCCUAUAGUUCAAUGGUUAGAUCGUGGGGGUGUUAAUCCCAAGUCAUGAGUUCAAUUCUCACCCGAGGCC
rnacentral:tRNA from 1 species